UCAAAAUUUGCAGCACCACGAUCAUUUUUUUCUCUCUCAACAUUUAGAAGCAAGGGAAGUGACUCGAAGCCCCGAUAAAUUGCCAUCAUAGUGUAGCCAAAGGGAAGUGCUUGGGAUCAUCUUAAAAAAUAGGGUGUAAAGAUGAUAAAAUAUAAAUACAAAUGCUUGAGAUAGGCAUGAUAAAGCCAUCUAUAUAUGUUGUAUAUUGUACUGAACAAAAAGAGCGCCUAUUGGCGUAUCGUCAUUGUGAUUUUGGUAGUCCAGGGUAUUAUUUUUUUUUUUUUUUUCANN
rnacentral:lncRNA from 1 species